CUAUUUAUCAAAACCAAAUAAAAAUUACAAAAAAAAACACAACAAACAGUGGAUGAAAAAAAGAAGGAAUGCCCCACUGAACAGUAAGAGAAGUGUCCAUAAAAAAAUUGACCAACGUAUACCUUACACGCCUCUGCCUAUAGACGAACAAUGCAUCAAUAACCAUAACAAAACAUACUGUCAUUUUCCCUCGAAAACUGUGUCAAGAGUUCACCAACAAGAAUCACAAGGCAAUAGUUAUGAAAAAGAUGAAUUUUUCUCAUAUUGUUGAAGAAUACGCGGAUUCCAGUGACGAUGAAAUUGAAUUUUCACGCCAGCUGUUAGCAUAUAGUCAGCUACUUACUGCCAACGGUGGUUCCAUUUGUGCACAACAGUUCGGAGGAUCUCGUCCCGGAAAGCUACCAAACAUCAACAGAUUUUCUGAUGAAGGAGAUGUUCGGCUUUUCAAAGAUUAUUUCGCUGAAGUGCCUGUUUAUAAUAAAAAACAGUUUCGGAGACGUUUCCGAAUGUCAAAGAACUUGUUUUUACGAAUCGUGAAAGCACUGGAACGGAAUCAAUAUUUUGUUCAAAGACCAGACGCGACAGGGAAAAUGGGAUUGUCUUCUAUUCAAAAAUGCACAGCGGCUCUACGGCAGUUGGCAUAUGGAUCACCAUCUGAUGCUAUUGAUGAAUAUGUUCGAAUGGGAGAAUCAACCGCGCGAAAAUGUUUGGUGGAAUUUUGCAAAACUGUUAUUCACAUAUUCGGAGACGAAUAUCUUCGCUCACCUACAAACGAGGAUCUGCUCCGAUUGCUUCGAACUGGUGAAGAGCGAGGCUUUCCUGGUAUGUUGGGCUCCUUGGACUGUACCCAUUGGCAGUGGAAGAACUGCCCCACGGCUUGGGCAGGCCAGUAUAAGGGUAAAGAGAAAAAACCAACCAUUAUUUUAGAAGUAGUUGCCUCUUACGAUUUGUGGAUAUGGCACGCAUUUUUUGGAAUGCCUGGCUCGAAUAAUGACAUUAACGUGCUGGAAAGAUCUUCGAUAUUUUCAGAUCUUUAUAACGGGAAAACCCCUACUAUCAAUUAUUCCAUCAACAAUCACACUUAUAGCUCAGGAUAUUACCUUGCCGACGGGAUCUAUCCUCCAUUAGCUACAUUAGUUCAAACAAUUCCUUCGCCCAUCGGUCAAAAACGAAAGCACUUCGCCGAAAUGCAAGAAUCUGCUAGAAAAGAUGUGGAACGAGUGUUUUCCGUCCUGACUGGUCGAUUUGCGAUAAUCAAAAGCCCUGCCAGAUUAUGGAACAAAGAAACGUUGGAAUCAAUCAUGCGCACCUGUAUAAUACUCCAUAAUAUGAUCAUAGAAGAUGAGCGAGAUGAUUCCACAGCAUUUGACUAUGGCUCACUUCAUGCCAGUAUCCUUGGUUCGACAGAGAAUACGGAUGGUUUUAGUGAAUUUCUUGCCCGUUACGAGAAGGUUCACGACACUACCUUACAUUAUCAACUACAGAAUGACUUAGUUGAACACCUUUGGCAAAUAAAAGGGGAAGAUAAUUAUUAGCUUAUUACUCGCUAAUGAAAUUUAAAGCUAAUAUAUUUGUGUCGUAUAUUUUUAUGUUCGAAACUGUAUCGCUACCUGCAUGUGGAAAUAUAUAAUGUAUAAAUUAAAUUGAUGAUAUACCUUUUCACAAAUCGUUAGAACAUCUGAUCCUUUUAUGGGAAUGACAAGUCCGUAAUACAUAUAUAUGCCCUUUUUAUUUCACAAGUUUGUGUGUGCAUUGUUUACAACUGCCGAUGAAAGGCACGAUAACAAGUCUAUCAUUUUUAAAGGAGUACUCUCAGUGACCCCCAAAGUCAGCUGAUUUCAAACGUCAUGUGUAUAGGCCUAUUUCAAGCAAACGCACAUAAUAGAUACUGAAGAUUCUAUAGGCUUGCACGACUUGCACAGACAUGGUUGAGCAAUAUUAUUUUAGUGCGGAUUUAAAGUGUACCGAGCGAAUAUGACGUCAUGGAAUCCAUUGUCACUAUUGAAAUCGUGAUGUCAUACUCGCUUGGCUAAACGAACUGACAGUUCGUUUACCUAGAGUUGUCUUCGCCUCCGCGAGUGCAUGGAAUCUUUAUUGUUUAUAACGCACAUUGUACCUUCUUAUUCCAUGUGAAGGAGAAAAGGUGGGGCAUCCGAACAUAUUUGUAACAAUAUCACUUUAUAGACAGUAAUCUCGGAAGUGUCAUAACAACUUCAGCAAGCCAAGGGCAAAAAAAUGGCAAAUAUCGAGAUAUUUCUGAGUAUUCAAACUUUGUGGCAGACGAUUGAAUUGUUCACAUCUUUUUGCCGACUAAUACUAAUAUAGAGUGACCCAUACCUGAAAAUACUAGGUGACUUUGGGAAUUGCCUCACUCAUGAAAAGGCCUUAUUCAUCAAGGCCUACACGGAACUACAAUUCAACCCAUGUUUGCGUUCUAUUGAAUCAACAAAUUCGUAAAAGUAGCUGAAUAUGAGUUAUAUUUACCAAAGGGUGUGAGUAUUUUUUUUUCGGUAUUAUUAUCGUUGCAGCAAAAAAACUGUCACGACUCGCGCGGCAUACGAAGUUACAAAUGCGAAGUAAAUUUGAAUCGAUUAUUGGCUUUGCACAUCAUUCAGCUAAUUAAGAGCUAUAAUAUGCAUUCAUACAAACCAAGAUGCGACACAUAAAAGUGGGUAAAAAUUCAAUUUUUGUACUCCACGUCACUUCGGAUUUCAACCAAAAGCAUAAUUAAAGGUAUGAACUCAAUCAUUACUUAAUAUUGACGGACGCUUAUUCAUCCAUUACCUGUGUUUGCGUUAAUUUAACAUUUUUUCGAUGGGCUAUCUCAGUCAAGCUUCUAUCAACGCAAUGCAAACGUAUCCAUUCUGUAUGGGCCUUGGCCAACCUACAUUUAUUAUAUAUACAUUUGUAUGUAUACAUUUCUAUACACUUGUAGAUCAUUUUGUUAUGUGCACCUUGGAAAAGCAUUUUGAAGGUGGAGAAAAAGCCUUUUGAGAUUUGUUUUAUAGAAAACAGCAUAUGAACGUUCAAUAGAGAGCUUGCGUCUGUACAGAAGGUAACAAUCCUAAAAAAUGAGUGCAACCAAAUCACGCGGAAGAAACUGGACACGUAUGGAGGAUGAGGCUCUGUGUCAAGCAUGGCUUCAUGUAUCGCAAGAUCCAAUCAUCGGAACAAACCAGAGAGCAGAUAAUUUGUACCAUCGGAUCUACGAAAAAUUUAUGGAGAUUUGUGCUUCACACGACAUGAUUACAAACACAGAUGUUCGCGUGCAAAAGGGUAUGAAAUGUAGAUGGCAUAUCAUCAACAAAUGUGUCAGUAAGUUUGCUGGUUGUGUGAGUCAAAUUAAUGCUAGACAGCAAAGCGGUUCUUCGCCUGAAGACAACUUGAAAAAGGCACUGGAACUAUAUGCUGCUACAGAAAAAUCACCAUUCAUCAUGAUGAACUGCUACAGAAUUCUAGAGAAUUCUCCAAAGUGGAAGCAAUAUCGAGAUUCGAAGGGACCCACUACUAAACGGUCUUUGGGACAAACUUCAAACGACAGUAUUGAAGAAAUAGGAGGCGUAUCUUCGGAGAUAAUACGUGAAGCCGCUCGUCCAAGAGGCAGAGAUUUCAGCAAGCGUCAGAAAAUCAGUAAUGAUGUAAGUCUGGAGCUAGCUAAAUCAGGUCGCCUUUUGGCAGCGGCAUCGAAAGCGAAGCUAGACGACUGCUUUCAACGGACCCAAGCGUUGAAAAGAAUCGCAAAUCAUUCAAUUAUGUCGAUGGAUUUAACAGGUUUAAAUAGCGUCGCCAAACAAUACUACGAAAUAGAACAACGUCGUAUCCUGGAUGAAACCUUAAAAGGAACCGCAUCCACUACAGAUGGAUCCAUUAAGGCAUCAAUUUCUGAUUUCGAUGUCGAAGAACCUUCUGAAGUGUUUCACGCCGAAAGUUCAGAUGACGAACUGGAAUUGAGAAUGCUUUCCGAUGACGAAUUUGUAGAUGACAACGUUCAUCCUCCAAAAGGAGAAACAAAUAAAUGAGAAGAAAUGUUUGUUACAAUUAAUUUAGCGUUCAAUGAUUUGAUAAAAUAAAAGCCAAAAUAAAAAUUAUAUUGAUAUAGAUUUUAUUUAAAAAAAAUGUAGAGUGAAAGAAACGUCACCGUAUAAUAGAUGCGACCGCAGUCCUAACUUCACAUAAUAGUCAAGUUUUGACAUGAUUUCGAUUGAUAGUAUUCUAAGGUACACCGGGGCAAGUUGAAACGGGUGGGGCAAAGUGAAACACGAAAUUUUGAAAUAGAUUUCAAUACAAUUUGGAAAUUUAUCCUUCGCUAAAAGGUGGUUUGAAUCAAAAACUAUGUUUUAUGGCGAUCAAACUGUUUAUCAUCAUUAGAAAACAUCAUGUUAACCCGCUGUUUCAUCUUGCCCCACCCGUUUCAACUUGCCCCGGUGUACCUUACCCAAAUUCGCCCAAAGGCGAUGAAAGCGACUGCAGUAGCAUACUUUUGAAAUUUAAACGACGAAGAAUACGAAAUCCAAGAUUUUUCCCGUUGGCUUCAAACUAAAGGUUAGAGCUUGUGCUCUACUGAAAAAACUGAUCAUAAAUGCGCUAGAUAUUAGCUAUGUUGACAUUGUCAAUGGUGGUUACAUCGACUAUGUAACCAUAUGGGCAUUAUGUCUACUUUAUCUGUGAAAUUACUUUAAUUUCAUACUCUUGAGAUUUAAUAAUAAUUCAAUAAGGAUCAAAAUGUUAGAGAAGUAAACCAAACUGUAGUUUUUGUGGUCUUUCGCUGUGUUACGCUUCACAUAAAAUUUUGAUAUUUCCGAUACAAACGUUGUUGCGUUGGGGAGGAAGGGGAUCUAAAACUGCAAAAUCUUGCGUUACGUAAUAUUUGAAUGAAUCCAUAUUCAUAAGUAUCUCUAAACAAUUGUAACUACUUUUAUCUAAUCUAAUCCAGUGCGAGGAAGUACCCUGGAAAGUGAUCGUGCACGGAGAACUAAGACUACCUAUUUUUUUUUUAGUUUAUUUUACUCAAAAGUAAAUAUAUCGUUUAAACUUUCUACCCAAAAUUAGGUUGUUUUCUCUUUUUCUUCCACCGAUGUUGUCAAAAACAAAGCAAGCUGCAUCGACCCACUGGCCCAAUAAGCCAAUUUUUGGUAAAUUUGGUUGAAAAAACUUACGUUUGCGUUGAAUUUACCUACUCUUGAGUAUAUUUUUUUUGCUGGAGUUAACCCUCGAGGGAUCGCGCUGUUGUAUUUUGUACAACACGAUGAAAAAAUCUCACUUUUUGUACUCAGCACUAACGUGGUGCUGAUGCAGGUAGUCAACCGCGCGAGUUACGGAGGGUUAAAGGCAAACUACCUAGUGUGAGUUUAAUCAAUUUACUCAAAUUUUAAUUAUUGGGCCAAACUAUGGAGUAUCAUCAAAAGAAUUCAAAUUUGGAUAGUUUGGCGGCUCCGUGUGUAAGAUCACGCCCAAUUAUUGUUCAUAGAGUUGAAAAUCGGAAUUUUUGACACGCAAAAAUCCAUUUUUCUUCUAAUCCGAGCGUCGGAUGUACGUCGGGCAUAGUGCGCUGGAUAGAGGAUCAGGUCCGCUGUCCAGCGUACUAUGUCCGACGUUAGGUUUCCCGUACGGAUUUGGAGAAAAAGCGAUUGUCGCGUGUUGGGAAACUUCGGGUUUCAACCGCGACGACAAAACUGUCCUUGUCAAUAUUGAUGAUUGCAGAGUAUCAGAGAUAUGGCCGGGGUUCUGCUGAACCGAACUAAGCGUAAAAAACUUUAUUCCGAGAUAAUUAAGCUUAACCAGUCACAAAUAAACAACAGCUUAGAUUAUUUGAAACUUUUCCGCACACUUGUAACUUACAAGCCUUUAUUAACUAUCAGAGAUGAAGUACGUGUAAAUUAUUUGAAAUCAUUCAUAUAAUUACAUUUAAUUUUUCAGUACUUUGCACUCAGUUUACUCUGGCUGAACAAAAACAUUGGAAUAUGGUUUAAAGUUCAGUGUGGCUGACUGUGUUUCUUUGUUUCAGAGAAAACCAGUCGGAUUGUGAAAAAAAAGUCUUGUUUUUUCAUCGUCUAUGAAGUUAAAAUCGAUAUCACUCACAACCCUUUACAUCAAUCAGAGAGGACGCGUAUAGUAUGGUAGCACGGAGGUUUUAAAAAUAGUUUGAAAUAUGAACGGCAGAGCCCCACCCAGCUCAGCCCUUCCCACACAUGUUUUUUUUUUUCAUAUGCAGUUCAUGUGCAGGCACAGAGCAAAAGUGAUUAUGUCAAAUGAUGUCCAUGCAUGUCCUGAGAUCCUGAGAUGUGGAAGUGGAGCAAUUUCUGUACUUCAAAUUUAGGCUGGUCGAAGAAAACCAUGAAAAUUUUCUGUCAAAGUGAACUAAGACAAAUAAAAUAAAAAAACAUGAAAGAGAUUCGAACUUGGAUCAUUUAAGUGAUAACCAAGCGCGUUACCUCUAGAUAAUUUUACCUAGCUGUAGGUCAGUCGUUAAGUCUGAAUCACGUUCUAAACAUUCUUUUCAAGGAUGGUUUUCGUCAAAACGCUAUUUUUCGAUCAGCCAAAGCGAACCAAGUGUUUGAUUUUUUUUUCAAGCUCUAUUAUUCUAAUUAACCUUGUUGUUCAAUGACGGCCUCUGUGUUAAAUUAUCAGUAUGAGGAGUGUCGACAUAAUGCAGGUAUUCAAAACCAGUUGAUUUUUGUAUUGUUGACAAUAAAUUGAUUCUAAAAUGCAGUGGAUUUGGUUCGGUAAGGCUGAAUGUGUUUUGGAAAAAUAGAAACAUAAUUGAUUCCUCCAACACCUAUAUUUCUAAUUACGUGUUCAUUUCUCUCACAGAUUGUUACUAUGUAUCGGUUGAAAGUUAUAAAUCUGACAGCGAGGAGGAGAACUUGAAAUGUUCAUCAUCUGGACCAGAACUGAAAUAUUUCGCUGAGUGUAUGGAAUGGUUUACAGUUCACUCUGGUUGGAUGCAAUUUUAUUUUUUGUAUGUUCUGCCACACAGAAAUUUUGAAUUUACUCCACGAAGAGCUGUCAGAAUUACUGCUUUUUUACAUGGAAGGAAUGUCAUCUCAUUCUUCGUCCAAUAAUGGUUAAAACAAAACUCAAUUUUUCAAAAAAUGGUCUCUGGUUCGGUUUAGCAGAACCCCGACCAUAUGACGACACAUGUAUCAAAGUGGCCGAACUAAAUCACUAUUCAAUAUAAGUUCCUCAAAUAUAAGUUUGAAUACGAUCGGUCGAAUAAAAAAAGUGAAGGUACAAUUUAGAACAAUCGUAACUACUUUUAAGAGAAAAAACAAUACAUUUUCGAUAUGUAUGAUCGGCGAAGAAAGGAAAACUUUAUUCAAAACAUACUUAAUCAAAACUUGACUGUUUCAAUCCAUUAUUUUUCUGCGUUUAUAUUGUCACUCUAUCACUAUUGUAUGUCAGAUAAAUUGUUAUGUUUUUGAUGUAGUGAUCUAUGAUAUAAUUUCGUUGGAAAUUUCAAAGCAAGAAUAAAUAUCAACAUGUGAUACGAACUAAAAAAAUUACCUAUACAAAACUGGAAAAUCAUUCUCUAUAAACUAUAUGAACCGAACAGGAAUGAUUGUCAACAAACCCCUACUCAUAUUCUUUCGUCUCCUCUUUGCGCUACCCAGAGAGUUGAACGCGAGAGAGCGCACGAGCCUACGGAUAGAGACCGUAGUUUGCAUGUCUCUAAAUUCUAAGCCCCGUUACGAACCGUACGUAAACUUUUCGCUUUCGAGCUCUUCUUAGCAACGACCGGUGCGGCUCGCGUCUUUGUUCGUGGCUCUACUUAACGUUAAAACGCUUGAUUGAGCCCAUGAGUGGGCUUGGUCUUAGGUUGUUAUUAAAUCUAACAAAACAUGUUAUUAAAUUGGUCUUCCAGGAACAUUUUUUUGUUAUGAUUGUUGUUAUUUUGCCGCUUAUGACAGACAAGUUUAUAACAUACAGUCGAACCUCCAUGAGUCGAUGUUCCUUGACUCGAUAUCGACUCAUGGAGGUAAAUUUUUCCAUACUGAAAAAUAAUUUCUGGGUUACUAUGAUGGUCCCCCCAAAAGCUUCCCAAAGGAUUUUUGUUCUACUGCUCGAUAUUUCCUUGA